rnacentral:rRNA from 1 species
UACGUAGGGCGCAAGCGUUGUCCGGAAUCACUGGGCGUAAAGGGCGCGUAGGCGGCCCUCUUAGUCGCGUGUGAAAGCCCCGGGCUCAACCUGGGAACGGCGCGCGAAACGGGAGGGCUGGAGUUCGGGAGAGGAGAGUGGAAUUCCCAGUGUAGAGGUGAAAUUCGUAGAUAUUGGGAAGAACACCGGUGGCGAAGGCGGCUCUCUGGACCGAGACUGACGCUGAGGCGCGAAAGCGUGGGGAGCAAACAGG